rnacentral:rRNA from 1 species
GACGUAGGGCGCGAGCGUUAUCCGGAAUUAUUGGGCGUAAAGAGCUCGUAGGCGGUUUGUCGCGUCUGCCGUGAAAGUCCGGGGCUCAACUCCGGAUCUGCGGUGGGUACGGGCAGACUAGAGUGAUGUAGGGGAGACUGGAAUUCCUGGUGUAGCGGUGAAAUGCGCAGAUAUCAGGAGGAACACCGGUGGCGAAGGCGGGUCUCUGGGCCGAUACUGACGCUGAGGAGCGAAAGCGUGGGGAGCGAACAGG